GUUGUGUUUGGGGAGGUGACCGUGCGUGUACAGCAUUCGCUGGGGAUCUCUGCUCUGAUAACUGCACUCCCCCAUAGAGAAAACUCUGCUCCAGUCUGCCCCUUCCAGGGGAGCUCUACAGCCUCAGGGCGCACCUGUGGCUCAGGUUUUCGUAUCUCUUUCUGAUACUGGAACCAUGUCCUUGAUGGCUCGUGGCUGGGCCUAAAUCUUGUUACAAAGUAGUCAAGCAGACAUUUAGAUUAUAGAUAUUUUUCUUAUUGCCUUUUAGUCUGGCCAAAAUGCUUAUUUUCACAUUUAGCAGAAUAGCUCAGGCCUUUCAGCCUUUAUUUAUAUUUGGCCCUGAAGGCGCUGGGCUCAGACCCAGGGAGGCACUUAGGCUCCCACGUGAUUUCAGUAGGACAUUGAUUCUUUAUAUUUUUAUAAAAGCUGCUUUCAUUCUGUUUUAAUCCUGGACCUGGUCAUACCUGUGCAUGCGCUGAUAUCUGUGUCGUGCUCUCCAAAAUGAGUUGGCAGUGGAUAACAGUUACUUUGAGGUUGUCAGGGGGUCUCUGGUUAUCUGCCCUCGGUGUCAUGCAUUGAUUCCCAGCGUACAGCAUCCACUUUGGGGGCAUUUCCUCCAUGCAAAAAUUUUGCAUUAGCAAAACAUUUCUGCAAUUUAAUUAAAUGUCACAAAUGUUGUUUUCUGUGCCAGUUACAAUUGCUCGAUUUGCUCUCAGCUGGCAUGGCUUCUUCUGGAUCUCUUUGUGCUGUUUCUGGUCCAGCAGGUCUUGAUGCUGAGGAUCUGGGACAGUUCCUAUUUCCCUGUGUGAAUUUUCAUUGGGAGUUUUCCCCCAAAAUCCAUUCUGCAAAAUGUUUGUUGUUUCCUUCCGUCCGCUCUUUGCAGAUGCCUGUGGGCCAAUUUUAGAGGCUGCCUUUGGAAGCUGUGAUCGUGGCUGUCCUUCACAAGAGGUCAGGUUAAUUUGGGAAUCACCCCUGGCACGUCACAGAUUUCCAGAUCUGUCUCAAUGAGCCUAUUUUAGGACAACUGCGAGGCUUCUAGAAGGAUCUUCCCCUGAGGAUGAGCAGUGUGAGCAGCACGCCAGCACUUGUGCUUCCUGAUCUGGAGACUGCACGUGUUUUCUUAUUCAGAGAGGUCUAACAACAUUCUUAACAGCUUUGGGAAUAAAUUGGGGUCUUUGCAAUGUCAAACUA